UACGAAGGCCCCGAGCGUUAUCCGGAUUUAUUGGGCGUAAAGCGUUAAUAGGCGGUUCUGUAAGUAUUCGGUCAAAUCUCAUGGCUCAACCAUGAGGCUGCCGGGUAAACUGCAGGACUUGAGGUCGGAAGAGGCAAGCGGAAGUACCGGUGUAGUGGUAAAAUGCGUUCAUACCGGUAGGAACACCAAAGGCGAAGGCAGCUUGCGGGUACGAACCUGACGCUAAAUAACGAAAGCGUGGGGAGCGAAUGGG
rnacentral:rRNA from 1 species